GAUGAACGCUGGCGGCGUGCCUAAUACAUGCAAGUCGAGCGAAGCGGGGACGGGUGAGUAACACGUGGAUAACCUCCUAUAAGACUGGGAUAACUUCGGGAAACCGGAGCUAAACCGGAUACUAAUAGAUGGAUCCGUGCUGCAUUAGCUCGUUGGUAAGGUAACGGCUUACCAAGGCAACCAUGCAUAGCCGACCUGAGAGGGGGAGCAGCCACACUGGAACUGUGACACGGUGCAGACUCCGACGUGAGGCAGCAGUAGUGAAUCGUCCGCAAUGGGCGAAAGCCUGACGGAGCAACGCCGCGUGAGUGAUGAAGGUCUGCGGAUCGUAAAACUCUGGUAGUAGGGAAGCGGUACCUAAUCAGAAAGCCACGGCUAACUACGUGCCAGCAGCCGCGGUAAUAC
rnacentral:rRNA from 1 species